rnacentral:lncRNA from 1 species
UGGCUCAGAAAUAUGAUUUAUUUUGUUGAAGUGUAUUUUUUUUAUAUAAAUGGAUCAUUAACAACGAUCACAUUUGUUUUUUUUUUUUGGAAUUAGUCAAUAUUUGAUUUAACCAAAAACAUGUAUGUACAAGGCAAUCUGAAAAGAUCCGAUACGAUCUCUAUAAUAACCCUCGCCCAAACUAGCUCAUCAUUAAUCUAGCUAUAUGCGCUCUCAGUUUGGGCUUGGUUCAUGUCCUAUAAAUUAGAAUGUCU